UACAACAAAACAAAAAGAGGUUCUACAGAAUUCUUAAAGAAGUUUCCGGUGAACUGUGUGCUCUUUGGGAUUCAUAGUUUCUCUCUGAUACUAGUAGUAUGUACUCUCUAUUUCACUCAUCUUUAAGCUCCCUGAACUCCUGAGCAAGCUCAACAGCUCUAAGAGCAAACUGCAUUCUGUACUCUUCAGUAUAAAGGAAAAUGUUUUUAUAUUACAGAAAGAUACAUAAUCAUCUUCAUCUCAACUAGGCAACUGCUUUUUCCAAGAUUUGAUUUGAAAGCUUGUGAUUCAGAGUUUCACAAACAAAGGAAUAUUAUUUACAACUAGGAAGAACCUUUUUUUUUAAACUUACCAAACCAAGACCACGUGACCUUAAAUGUCUUCAUUAAAAAGGAACAACUCUUUACAGAUACAGGAAAGAGUGUUAGGCCGUGUUCAAUUAGCAAGGUCUCUACUCAGGACUGGAUGGUAAAGGAAAGAUGUACUGUGAUACGGCUGUAAUGUGAACAUCAAAUAUCUGCCAUCCAACAGCUAAAUAAUUCUACUCUUGAGGCAACUCCACCCUACACAUACUGAGGGUUCCCAGUGAAUGCCUGAAGCUACCCACAGAUUUACAAACUCUCCCUGCCUCUGUGUAAACCUUCCUCUCCCUACUCAUCAAGUGCCUCAAAAAGUGUUUUUUGAUUUAGCCAAGGUUACUCUCACAGAUGAAUGACAGAACUUACCAUCUCCUAGAAAGCUUCACUUGUCUUUAAUAAACAUUUUGUAACUGCUG